AUGAUAGGACGCGGGAACGCAGCAACGCCGCCGGGAUCGCACCACGGCCGCAGCAGGCCGCCGCCCCGCAAGUUCAAGUCGGUCCCGGAGGCCAUCUCCACCGGGGACGGUGACGGCGGCACCGUCUUCCGCGUCGGCCCCAUCAUCGGCACCGGCUCCUUCGGGGAGAUCUACCACGGCACGGACGCCGAGACCAAGGAGGAGGUCGCCAUCAAGCUCGAGUCUCUCAGGGCGAGGUUCCCCCAGCUGAUCUACGAGGCCAAGGUCUACAGGAAACUCCAAGGACAAGCCAGGAUUCCAAAUGUGAGGUGGUUCGGCGUCGAGGGGGACUACAGCGCCCUGGUGAUGGACCUGUUAGGGGCCAACCUCCAGGAGCUCUUCGAGUCCUGCGACGCCAAGUUCUCCCUCAAGACCGUCCUCAUGCUCGCUGACCAAAUGAUUGACCGGGUCGAGUGCCUCCACGCCAACUCUUUCGUGCACAAGGACAUCAAGCCGCAGAACUUCCUCAUGGGCCGUGGCAAGAACGCCAAUCUGGUUCAUCUUAUAGAUUUCGGAAUAGCGAGGAAGUACAUGGAGACAUCCAAACACGGCAGGCAGCACAUCCCAUACAGGGAUAACAUGAUGGGCCUGCAAGGAACGCCGAGAUACGCAAGCAUAAACAACCAUCUCGGAAUCGAGCAAAGCCGGAGGGAUGACCUAGAAUCCAUCGGCUACAUGCUGCUCUACUUCCUCCGAGGAAGCCUCCCGUGGCAGGACGCGGACGCCGGGAACCACAGGGAGACACAUGACAUGAUCAAGGACAUGAAGAUGGCCACAUCGCCCGAGGAGCUCUGCCGCGGGCAUCCCGCCGAGUUCGCAUCCUACCUCAUCUACUGCCGCUCGCUGGGGUUCGAGGACGAGCCCAACUAUGCGCAUCUCAGGAAGCUGUUCAAAGACCUCUUUGUUCAACAGGGCUUCGAGUAUGACUACGUUUAUGACUGGAUGGUUCCCCGGCAUUAUUACAAAGAUGACUACCGGUACUGA
rnacentral:rRNA from 1 species